rnacentral:tRNA from 1 species
GAGGGUAUAGCUCAGUGGAAGAGUUCAUGCUUAACGUGCAGGAGGUCCUGGAUUUAACCCCCAGUGCCUCCA